AACAAGGUAUGCCUCCCUCUUAUUAUUUCUGAAACCCUCCCUCUUCUAAAACUCUGUUCUUUUCCAAUUUUUACUCUGUUUUCUCUCUCUGAAUUUGUAUUCCAAUCUCUCCUGUUUCACACUCAUUCGAAAUUUGUACGAAUGAGUGUCUGUGUCUGUGUAACUUGAUUUUGAUUUUCAUUCAGUUGGUAAAUAGGAGAAAUUAUUCAAUGCUCGUGGAGCAAUGAUAAAUAGGCAAUUCAAGUUGUUCUGAAUCAAGUUCCUUCAAGUUGUUCUCAAUCGACAGUCGACGAUCUUCUGGAGGUAAGGAAGAGAGACUCAAACUUUUAGUCUGUUUAUUAAGACAAUGCAACCUGCGUAGCUGCGGUAUCAUUUUUCACUCAUUAUUAGAUUUUUUUUUAGUGUUUUUCUUUUUUGCGUUGGCAACUUAGUCCAAGUGUUUGUUAACUAGAUUAUUAUUUAACAAAUCCAUUUUUAUGUGCAUGUGGUGCAAUUGAUGAAUGUAUUGUACAACCUAGAUGGUGUAGGAUAUUUUCAAUUCCCACAUUAAGUAUAUAUGUCAACUGAUGAAUGUACUAUAACUUUUAAGAUUUUUGUUUGUUUUUUCCCUAAUCAAAGAUACUAGAAGUUUAUUCUUCUUGUCUUUCUUCACAAGGAAUUCUGAUUGAAGCCUGAUGGAUUAGUUACAUGUGGUAUAAUCUAUUUCUAACCAUUUGCAAUUUAUCUCUAUGCCUCAGUUACAUGGAUGUAGUUAGUUAUUUUUAACCAUGUGAGGAACUAUGCUUUUAAUCUUUGGAAGAACAAGGGAUUGAGGGAGGUACUGUCUACUACCACCAGUUUUAUAUUUUUCUUAUUUGAUUGUGUGGAAAGUAGUACUAAUGUUGUUAAGGAUGGACCCUGGUUUUUUGGGGGGCACUUUCUUGUACUAAAAAAGUGGCACAAUAUGAUGAAAUUAUCUAAGGAGAGGCUUGAUAGAAUUUUGAUUUGGAUUAAGUUGUUUAACAUUCGUUUAGAAUAUUGGGAUGAUGAUGGGCUUAGUAGGAUUUCUAGUGCUAGAAUUUCAUUUGCUAAAAUAUGUGUGGAAAUAGGAUUGGAUUCUCUUCCUACUGAUUUUCUAAUCAAAUGUGAAGAUUAGAGUGUUGAGAUUGGGGUUGAAUACCUGUGGACUCCAUCCAAGUGCUCAAAAUGUAAAGUCUUGGGGCAUAUGGAAGAUAAAUACAUCAAAACUCGAGUGGAGAAUUUGUCCAAAGAAAGUAUUUCACAGAAGGUGUAAACUUUUGGUGACUAAAAAAAGUUAGUCAUUUUAUGUUCAAUUUUUGCCGACGGCAAAAAAAAUUAGUAGCGAAAUUAUGUUUUUGACUACAAAAGAUUAGUCAUUAUUAAUUAAUAUUUGUUGACAAAUAAUAAUUUAGUUGCUAAAGGGUGAGAAAUUUUAUUACCGCAUGCCCCUCUUCUCUGUUUCACACAAACACUUUCUUCUCUGUUCUCUCUUACACACAUAGAACAGUCAACGCCAAACCUCACCUCAAGCCGCUGUGCUCGAUUAUCCGCUUUUACAAAGUAGAAGUCACAUAGCGCAAUGUCCUCAACUUGCUAUCUCAAAAACUCUUUCUUCCAUGUAGCCAGAAUGCCUCUUGGCAACACCACUAGUGGUCUAGCAUGGGGAUACUUGGCCAGAAAACUCUGCAUAAAACUAAUUGUCAUGAAAGCUUUACCAGAGCUUGGAGCGUGGGCCAUGAUGUAGCCACCUGGAUUCUCUGUAACCAAGUUACUCAGUAGAAAAUUGAAGCCCUCAACUUGAUGGGGUUUCAUCUGCUUUUUGUGCCUGGGAUGAGUAGCGAUUUCAGUGACAUCAAAAUCCUGUCCACAUAAUUUAACCCCAUCAUGAAAUAUUUCAGUUGCUUCCUUGUCCUUAUAGUCCAGCCUCCAUAAAAGUAUGUACAUGUAGACCUUGU